UCUUUACGGGGCUUCAUUACGCUUACGUUAACCAAUCGAAUGGACUUAAAUCGCCACUAUUAUCGAUUGUGGUGGAAACGCAGACCCAUCAUCAGGUGUGUGGAUGGGCCAGAUGUUUACUUAACUUGUUGCUUACCAUGUAAACAACUUUAGACGGGUUGACCUUUCUUUCUACCAGGAGAAUGUAAUGCUUGUUCCUGCCCAAACUAAAAGGUCGGAGUGCAUCUUAGAAACACGUCCACCAAUAGUUCAAGAAUCAAGAAUCGCGGGAAGUGGUGUCAUUUGGCGCUGCUACUUUAAUAUAUGUUCAAUG